UACGUAGGGGGCAAGCGUUGUCCGGAUUUAUUGGGCGUAAAGAGCGUGUAGGCGGCCUGGUAGGUCAGCUGUGAAAACUCGAGGCUCAACCUCGAGACGCCGGUUGAAACCAUCAGGCUAGAGUCCGGAAGAGGAGAGUGGAAUUCCCGGUGUAGCGGUGAAAUGCGCAGAUAUCGAGAAGAACACCCGUGGCUAAGGCGGCUCGCUAGGACGGUACUGACGCUGAGACGCGAAAGCGUGGGGAGCGAACAGG
rnacentral:rRNA from 1 species